GUGCUCACUUCUGCAGCACAUACACAAAAAUUGCAACGUCAGAGUAUUACCAUGGCCCCUGCACAAGGCUGACAUGCAAAUUCAUGAAGUGCUCCAGGAAAAA